AUUGAACGCUGGCGGCAGGCCUAACACAUGCAAGUCGAACGGUAACAGGAAGAAGCUUGCUUCUUUGCUGACGAGUGGCGGACGGGUGAGUAAUGUCUGGGAAACUGCCUGAUGGAGGGGGAUAACUACUGGAAACGGUAGCUAAUACCGCAUAACGUCGCAAGACCAAAAAGGGGGACCUUCGGGCCCCUUGCCAUCGGAUGUGCCCAGAUGGGAUUAGCUAGUAGGUGGGGUAACGGCUCACCUAGGCGACGAUCCCUAGCUGGUCUGAGAGGAUGACCAGCCACACUGUAACUGAGACACGGUCCAGACUCCUACGGGAGGCAGCAGUGGGGAAUAUUGCACAAUGGGCGCGAGCCUGAUGCAGCCAUGCCGCGUGUAUGAAGAAGGCCUUCUGGUUGUAGAGUACUUUCGGCGGGGAGGAAGGGAGUAAAGUUAAUACCUGUGCUCAUUGACGUUACCCGCAGAAGAAGCACCGGCUAACUCCGUG
rnacentral:rRNA from 1 species